AAAACCUCUCUAUAACAACAUCAUCAAAAUUUCCCUAAGCUGAAUAUUUGUAUCCCCCAAAGGGUGUUGCUCUACAGAGGUUGUACGUAAAAAUUAAGCUUAUUGUAGUUGAGUAAAAAUGACAUGUUAAAAGGAAAUGUAGACAUAGUACUAGAGCCGAUUUACGCAAUCGAAUACCGCCGGAAGUAGAACAUUUAUGUCAACACCGGUUUCGUAUUUUCACGUGAAAACGACCGAAAACUGAGAAGUUAUCAACAAAUUAUAAGUUUCCGGGUACCAUGAGGAUUUUUCAUGCAUUUAAACGACAGAAGUACAAGCGAACAGAUGACACAUUAAAGUGGCUGCAGAAGCUUGAAAAGUUAGAUAGAGCAGGGGCAGUCAAAACUGUGGGAUAAUACUUCUAUGGUGUCAAACAUGUCUAGUCUAGCCGCCAUAGCAUAAAGGUAUACAUAGGUGGGAGACAUGUUUUGUCAUAAAAAUACCUAAAACACCUUUCACUUUGUUAAUGAAAAAAAUGUAUUAAACUUCUUACAAUUGCAAACUGUAAUAAUUAAACAUUAAAUGCACUAGUUACAUAACUGCAUUUGGCUUUUUUCAUAAUUAUUGCCCUUUUCUUACCAUAGCAAUAUUUUGUGUAACAUGUUACCUCAUUAAGCAUCAUAAGAUCAGAAAGUUCUAUGACUCAGAAAUGUUGGCCCUUUUGUACUUGUCAUGAGUAUGUUUUCAGCAUUUUAUAUUGUCAUUACUUUUUGUUGUGCGAGUUUACGGAAAUGAAGACUUAGUUGUCCAAAUGGUGUGCCUGUGCCUGUCCUGAUUUGUUUGUUUGGACAAUAUAUUAUUGAUUAGUCUUCACGAAACUUUGCAGGUUAAUUUCCUUAAGUUCCCUGUCAACUUUGAUAGUGGCAUGGUUACUUUAAAAGUGAUGUUACAAACGUUUUGUAUUUCAGAUUUUAUAUUACAUUACAUGCUACUGGUCUUUAGCAGCCUUUAUAAAACUUUCAUAAAAGUUUCCAAAAAUGUAUUUUGAUAUGAACUGGCAUUAUUCAAACAUUAAGAAGUAGUACUAUAAGGCAACAUUUGACCUCUUUUCCAGUACUUUUUGAUUUUCUCUGUUACUAUCAAGAUGCCUUUUCCUAGAAAUUGGUUGGCUUAUUUUUUAUGAUCUUACGUUUUUAAUGAAUUGUAGCUAUAUGUUCUUUUUCUCAUGAAAAUGUCCAUUUUUAUAUAAUUCAUAUUUUUUACUGUCAACAAAGUGCAAUACCACAUACUUAUCACUUUCAUUAACAUACUUGUACUAUUUUCAUAAAACGUUAUAUAAAUCAUUAUAUUUCAUAUAAACAGA